AUUGAACGCUGGCGGCAGGCCUAACACAUGCAAGUCGAGCGGAUGAAGGGAGCUUGCUCCUGGAUUCAGCGGCGGACGGGUGAGUAAUGCCUAGGAAUCUGCCUGGUAGUGGGGGAUAACAUCCGGAAACGGGCGCUAAUACCGCAUACGUCCUGAGGGAGAAAGUGGGGGAUCUUCGGACCUCACGCUAUCAGAUGAGCCUAGGUCGGAUUAGCUAGUUGGUGGGGUAAAGGCCUACCAAGGCGACGAUCCGUAACUGGUCUGAGAGGAUGAUCAGUCACACUGGAACUGAGACACGGUCCAGACUCCUACGGGAGGCAGCAGUGGGGAAUAUUGGACAAUGGGCGAAAGCCUGAUCCAGCCAUGCCGCGUGUGUGUAGAAGGUCUUCGGAUUGUAAAGCACUUUAAGUUGGGAGGAAGGGCAGUAAGUUAAUACCUUGCUGUUUUGACGUUACCAACAGAAUAAGCACCGGCUAACUUCGUG
rnacentral:rRNA from 1 species